AGGAAAUAUUAAGUUAUCAGUAUUUUAUUUAGUGUGUAUGUAUAUUUUGCAUUACCACAUGUUUUCUAAAAAUGUAAUGGGAGGUGCAUGACACAUACUGAGGCAAGUAAUAUGCAUGUUGAACAGACCUUUAACUUGAGGAUCUUUCUUUUUAUGCACAACAAAUUACUUACUACAAUGUCCCACAGUAAAACACACACAUCCACAAACCCUAAAACCCCAAAAUUAGUAGUGGUGUUUUUUGUAUAAGACCAACACUGAACAAGGAAAUAAAGUUCUCAACAAAAUCAGAAUCUCUCUAUGCAUGUCUAUUUUGCCCUUCUUUCCUUUUUGUCCUUUUUCAGAUUGUUUCCUGUGCUAAACAAGAGAGUCUCCAUCUUUCCAGUGUCGCUUCAGGCAUGGAAAGGAGCCCAGCUACAAAGAGGGUCAGCAACUGAACUGAAUCUACUCUGUAGACAAGAAGAAGUCUUAGUUACAGGUGGCAAGUUUUUACACUCCUCAUUCUAAAGAAAUUUUUUUUCUCUAAUGUGUCCCUUGCCCUUGCCCAGCUUUUUCCUUUAUAUCUGAUAGAGG
rnacentral:lncRNA from 1 species